GAGAGACUGCCGUCGUAAGAUGUGAGGAAGGUGGGGAUGACGUCAAAUCAGCACGGCCCUUACGUCCGGGGCUACACACGUGUUACAAUGGGGGGUACAGAAGGCAGCUAGCGGGUGACCGUAUGCUAAUCCCAAAAUCCUCUCUCAGUUCGGAUCGAAGUCUGCAACCCGACUUCGUGAAGCUGGAUUCGCUAGUAAUCGCGCAUCAGCCACGGCGCGGUGAAUACGUUCCCGGGCCUUGUACACACCGCCCGUCAAGCCAUGGGAGCCGGGGGUACCUGAAGUACGUAACCGCAAGGAUCGUCCUAGGGUAAAACUGGUGACUGGGGCUAAGUCGUAACAAGGUAGCCGUACCGGAAGGUGCGGCUGGAACACCUCCUUU
rnacentral:rRNA from 1 species